UCGAAAUUCAAGAGUAGCGAACGGGUGAGUAACGCGUGGGUAACCUGCCUUAUAGCGGGGGAUAACUAUUGGAAACGAUAGCUAAUACCGCAUAACAAUGUUAGAUGCAUAUUUAACAUUUGAAAGUACCAAUUGGUACACUAUGAGAUGGACCCGCGUUGUAUUAGCUAGUUGGUAGUGUAAUGGACUACCAAGGCGAUGAUACAUAGCCGACCUGAGAGGGUGAUCGGCCACAUUGGGACUGAGACACGGCCCAAACUCCUACGGGAGGCAGCAGUAGGGAAUCUUCGGCAAUGGACGAAAGUCUGACCGAGCAACGCCGCGUGAGUGAAGAAGGUUUUCGGAUCGUAAAACUCUGUUGUUAGAGAAGAACGUUGAUUAGAGUGGAAAAUUAAUCAAGUGACGGUAUCUAACCAGAAAGGGACGGCUAACUACGUGCCAGCAGCCGCGGUAAUACGUAGGUCCCGAGCGUUGUCCGGAUUUAUUGGGCGUAAAGCGAGCGCAGGUGGUUUAAUAAGUCUGAUGUAAAAGGCAGUGGCUCAACCAUUGUGUGCAUUGGAAACUGUUAGACUUGAGUGCAGUAGAGGAGAGUGGAAUUCCAUGUGUAGCGGUGAAAUGCGUAGAUAUAUGGAGGAACACCGGUGGCGAAAGCGGCUCUCUGGACUGUCACUGACACUGAGGCUCGAAAGCG
rnacentral:rRNA from 1 species